ACAGGUAAACUUAGCAUAGUCGAUAGGAAAUGUUGUGUUUUUAUAUUCCUUAAAAAUAUGAAGUAUGAUGUUACCUUUAAAUAUUGCAACAAUAGUCUUGAUGCUUAAGGUAGACAUGUCAUAUUUUGUGUUUGACAGUGUAGCCGGUUGACUGGGAAAUGCGAGUUAAAAGAUUUUUUUAUUUGUAAUGAAUAAAUAAUAUAGUGAAUAGGUUAACGUUAUCAAAACUUGUCAAAUGUAAUUUUUUCACUUAACUAAAGCUUAUAUACACUGCUUUAUGAUUCUUGUUAGAAGUUCCUAUAAAUUGUUGCAGGUGGGACUUUAAUCAGUGGUACACCGCGGGUAUAUAUGUAAUGACUACAAGCAGACUUGCUCAGUAGCAUCAUGUGUGCAGACGGAGACUGGUGUACUUAAAGGAGACACCCUGACAUUUUAGUUGAGGUCCUCACUGAGAAGACUGCUGAGAAAUUACUGGGAUUUAAGAAAAAGAUCACUUCAACUUGUGAAACAUCGUCAUCUGGCUGUCUUCACAACAAUUAAUCACCACAGACGA